UCGUAUAACGAAUUGCUCUGUUCGUUCGUUAAUACUAUGCGUUAAUACUGGCUUUUAUUUACUGCACGACGACAUCGCGCGCAAUUUUAAUCCGAACUUAGCGAUCGCGAGGUAAUCGCGUAAGAAUAAUCGGCUGAAAAAUAUUACCAAAAGAAGAGAUAACUUGUUUGAUCGGUUUUAAUAUCAAUCGAAGUAACGUUGGCGCGAAUAAAUUCGCGUUAAAAUAUCGUAUUCGCGUUACAUGACUUGCUAUCUCACAAUUAGAAAUGCCAAGAAGAUGAAUCAUAAAUAGUUGAGUCUGCUUUCGAUCUCGGAAAAAGCUCGGGUAAUAAUACAACUGUGCGUAAUUGGGGCUGACGUCAUGAUUCAGAGGUCAGGGUGCCACUUACGUAAUUUUACUUUCAUUCAUGGCAGUGGUCACACCUCGAGGCCGUUAAGCACAUGUCGUAAUGUCGCAUUCGUUUCUACCUUUUAUCGAUUCGCAAAUAUCCACAGUCUGGAGAGGAGGGACGUUUCAUCCGUUUUACGUUGCACAUUGGCGGAUGAAGGAAUUGCAAUCGAAACGAUAGUAGCUAAAUAGUGACGACGAAAGUCUGCACGCGUAACAAGACUAACGAGACGUACAUCGUCGAAUAAUUCGAUUUGGGCCGACUGGCCGCGAAAGAAGCGAAAAGUGAGAUUUCCCAUCUGGCUGGCAAGACGAGUUUAUUUUCUUUAGUGAAGUACUAUCGACCAAAUUUUCAAGCGCCGAACGGAAUUCACGUUGUUCGCGCGAUUUCUGUUUGCUUGCUAAUUUCCAACCGAACAUAUCUGUUGACUAAACUUUUGAAAAAUAUUUCUUCCAAGAUUCUCUCGUAAAUCUUCGCCUUGAUCUUGAAACCAUACCGAGCCGGCGAAACAGAAGCAACGCGAGUUGCGCCGUUACAUCGAAAAAGUAGUAACAGGAAGUUUUCGAAAUUACGCAGUUGCCUAAAAACAUGUAGCGGCUAAUGACAUCACCGCCGUAACGAACUCAAAGCAAACGUUUCGGUAUAGCUCGGACGAUUAUGAUAAGCGAUGAUCGAAACUAUCGAUAGCACGUUUCGCACAUAUCGAAGAUCGAAGAGCAUCCUCGAUACACUAGCUGGCCAACACGUGCUUUCUUAAAAUAGGUCUUAAGAAUAUGUAUACAAAAAGAAAAGCGUCGCUCGUGCCAAGGACUAGAAACUUUGGAAAUCCUUCGAGGAUUGUUUUGAGCUGCGCUCGUUUCCGCCGUUAUAACUACGUUAGAUAUAAUAAUAGAAGCACGAUAAAUCAUCGGUUUCUGUCUAGAUCGCGUUAACACGUUGCUAUUUGUUCGAGCAUAGAAUAAAUCGAUUCUCAGUAAAUUCACUUAGAAAAUAGAACGAGAUUCUACGAAGAACGAUAUUCUUCUAGAAAUGUCAUUUUUUUCUCAUACGUGCCAAAUCACAGGAUUCUGAUAUCGUUUAUCUAAUAUAUAGGAAAAUAUUGAUUCUGUCUGUGAAUUACACGCGUCAAGGUCAUCAAUCACGCAAGGAGGUUAUCGCAGAUUAACUCCCUCAAGUGUAAAGUAAAAGAUUACAGAAAUUCUCGAAAACACGUAGUUUGAUCUAUAGUUUGAAGCGAUCGUUCCAAUUGGAAAUCAUUUAACUUGUAAACAGUGUUGCUCGGAACUUACCAGAACUAGAUGCAGCAGGUGGCCGUGGAAGACAUUCCGGUUUUGUGCAUAAUGGCUUAAGGGGACCGUCCGUAACAGUUUCGGGUCUAAAAAUUGCUCUAAAUCGUGAAAAACAAGAACAAAACUUGCCCAUUUUUUUCAAUCUUGUACGGCAAUAAAUACGAUAUAUUUUAUUUAA